rnacentral:siRNA from 1 species
AAUCGUCGAGGAGAAUGGGCUU